UAGGGAAUCUUCCACAAUGGACGCAAGUCUGAUGGAGCAACGCCGCGUGAGUGAAGAAGGUUUUCGGACCGUAAAGCUCUGUUGUUGGUGAAGAAGGAUAGAGGUAGUAACUGGCCUUUAUUUGACGGUAAUCAACCAGAAAGUCACGGCUAACUACGUGCCAGCAGCCGCGGUAAUACGUAGGUGGCAAGCGUUGUCCGGAUUUAUUGGGCGUAAAGCGAGCGCAGGCGGAAGAAUAAGUCUGAUGUGAAAGCCCUCGGCUUAACCGAGGAAUUGCAUCGGAAACUGUUUUUCUUGAGUGCAGAAGAGGAGAGUAGAACUCCAUGUGUAGCGGUGGAAUGCGUAGAUAUAUGGAAGAAUACCAGUGGCGAAGGCGGCUCUCUGGUCUGCAACUGACGCUGAGGCUCGAAAGCAUGGGUAGCGAACAGGAUUAGAUACCCUGGUAGUCCAUGCCGUAAACGAUGAGUGCUAAGUGUUGGGAGGCUUCCGCCUCUCAGUGCUGCAGCUAACGCAUUAAGCACUCCGCCUGGGGAGUACGACCGCAAGGUGAAAC
rnacentral:rRNA from 1 species